rnacentral:lncRNA from 1 species
GGGGGAACGGCUGUUUAUGAGGGUGGAUGGUGAUAGGACAAGGGGGAAUGGUUUUAAACUGAGACAGGGGAGGUUUAAGUUGGAUAUUAGGAGGAAGUUUUUCCCCCAGAGGGUGGUGACGCACUGAACAGGUUGCCCAAGGAGGCUGUGGAUGCCCCAUCCCUGCAGGCAUUCAAGGCCAGGCUGGAUGUGGCUCUGGGCAGCCUGGGCUGCUGGUUGGCGACCCUGCACAUAGCAGGGGGUUGGAACUGGAUGAGCACUGUGGGUCUUUUCAACCCAGGCCAUUCUAUGAUUCUAUGAUCCAUCCAGUUUUCAAGAGCCAUGGGGAUGGGCACUGAGGGGCACAGUGGGCUGGGGUUGGGCUUGGGGGUCUUAGAGAGCUCUUC